AACGGAGAAUUGAGCAGCUCGAGCAUGAUGUGUCCAGCCUCACAAGAGGUUUCACGUGUUGCUUGCCGCCACACAGUCCCUGCCAGCCUCUUCCCGAUCUGUCUCUUGGCUGUCAUGUGACUUUCUCUUAACUCCAAUGAAACAGGGUUUCUCCCCACACCUAGCUACUCGAGAGAUGCUCGACUUGAUCACUCGUUAGGACUCACACAUGUGGGUAGCGACGAAGAUAUCUUUGACGUGUGUUGUGGGAGGAAAGUUACCACGUUAAGGUAUACGAGACUGUAAUACUCUUCUGACAGUAAAGUCUUUCAACUUUGCACCACAUGUGAAAGAAAAAUAACCUGUAGUUGAGGAAAGAACAUUUAGGAUUACACAGCUACAGUCUUGUUUGGUUUGUUCGAGAUUAAAGAACUAAGCCUUAUCGGCGCCAGCACGGGAAUCUAGUUUCUCAGGAGAUUUUGGUUCCCCAGAGAUUACAACGUGUACAAGCCUGUACAGAAAAGCUAAGGAGGAAAUAAACUUUGGACCCGCCAACGACAAAACAACGUUACAACAACAGUAUGAUGACAAAUGAUACGGCAGUAUACGGUAACGUAUCCUCACGCUCAGUC
rnacentral:misc_RNA from 1 species